rnacentral:rRNA from 1 species
GACGAACGCUGGCGGCGUGCUUAACACAUGCAAGUCGAACGAAGUGGCGCACGGGUGAGUAACGCGUAAUCAACCUGCCCUUCAGCGGGGGACAACAGUUGGAAACGACUUCUAAUACCGUAUACUGAAGGCGGGGGUUGCGUCUGAUUAGCUAGUUGGAGGGGUAACGGCCCCCCAAGGCGAUGAUCAGGAGCCGGUCUGAGAGGAUGAACGGCCACAUUGGGACUGGGUAACGGCCCAGACUCCUACGGGAGGCAGCAGUAGGGAUGCUGCCGCAAUGGACGAAAGUCUGACGGAGCAACGCCGCAGGAGUGAUGACGGCCGUCGGGUGGGAAAGCUCUGUUAAUCGGGACGCGGUACCGGAAUAGAAAGCCACGGCUAACUACGUGCCAGCAGCCGCGGUAAUUC